AACGAACGCUGGCGGCAGGCUUAACACAUGCAAGUCGAACGCCCCGCAAGGGGAGUGGCAGACGGGUGAGUAACGCGUGGGAAUCUACCCAUCCCUACGGAACAACUCCGGGAAACUGGAGCUAAUACCGUAUACGCCCUUAGGGGGAAAGAUUUAUCGGGGAUGGAUGAGCCCGCGUUGGAUUAGCUAGUUGGGGGUGUAAAGGCCUACUAAGGCGACGAUCAAUAGCUGGUCUGAGAGGAUGAUCAGCCACAUUGGGACUUAGACACGGCCCAAACUCCUACGGUAGGCAGCAGUGGGGAAUAUUGGACCAUGGGCGCAAGCCUGAUCCAGCCAUGCCGCGUGAGUGAUGAAGGCCUUAGGGUUGUAAAGCUCUUUCACCGAUGAAGAUAAUGACGGUAGUCGGAGAAGAAGCCCCGGCUAACUUCGUGCCAGCCGCCGCCGUAAUAC
rnacentral:rRNA from 1 species